rnacentral:snRNA from 1 species
AGGAACACCUGGACGGGGUCAAUGGGCGAUCAAUAAGACCCAUGGCCUAGGUUGGCGACUUCCAUUGCACUUUGGAAGGGUGCCUGCCUAAAGUCGGCCCAAGUGAUCGAGCCUACGUCAUAAUUUGUGGUAGCAGGGGCUUGCGUUCACGCGACCCCUAU